GAGCUGUCUUUGAGAGCACAUAUACUAAAAUUGGAACAGUGCAGAGAAGAUUAUCAUGGCUCCUGUGCAAGAAUGAUGUGCAAAUUUGUGAAGUGUUCCAUAUUUUA